ACGCCGCGUGAGUGAUGAAGGCUUCGGGUCGUAAAACUCUUUUCUUGGGGAAGAAUAAUGGACGGUACCCAAGGAAUAAGCCCCGGCUAAUUACGUGCCAGCAGCCGCGGUAAUACGUAAGGGGCAAGCGUUAUNNGANAUCACUGGGCGUAAAGGGUGCGUAGGUGGUCUUUUAAGUCAGAAGUGAAAGGCAUUGGCUCAACCAAUGUAAGCUUUUGAAACUGGAAGACUUGAGUGCAGGAGAGGUAAGUGGAAUUCCUAGUGUAGCGGUGAAAUGCGUAGAUAUUAGGAGGAACACCAGUGGCGAAGGCGACUUACUGGACUGUUACUGACACUGAGGCACGAAAGCGUGGGGAGCAAACAGGAUUAGAUACCCUGGUAGUCCACGCCGUAACGAUGAAUACUAGGUGUCGGGAGUCGAAUCUCGGUGCCGCACUACGCAUUAAGUAUUCCGCCUGGGGAGUAC
rnacentral:rRNA from 1 species